rnacentral:rRNA from 1 species
UACGGAGGGUGCAAGCGUUAUCCGGAUUCACUGGGUUUAAAGGGUGCGUAGGCGGGUUGGUAAGUCCGUGGUGAAAUCCCCAAGCUUAACUUGGGAACUGCCAUGGAUACUAUCAAUCUUGAAUAUCGUGGAGGUAAGCGGAAUAUGUCAUGUAGCGGUGAAAUGCUUAGAUAUGACAUAGAACACCAAUUGCGUAGGCAGCUUACUACACGAUCAUUGACGCUGAGGCACGAAAGCGUGGGGAGCAAACAGG